rnacentral:sRNA from 1 species
GGCCCCCAGAACGGAGAAGCGCGCAAGGCAGCGGUGACAGCGGCGACGGCAACGGCGACAGCAACCCCUGCUGUGCCGAAACUGGGCAGAGCGGAGCAGACGUCUGAAGCAGCGCGAGUGAGGCGCGAGGGUAGCGCCCGCGCCCGGGAAGACCCCUCGGCGCGAACCGGCAGCCCAGCCCCGGGUCCCGGUUCCCGAGGCCCCGCCUCUAGGGCCUGGGGACUAAUCGGAUUGAGAGCGCGCCGGCCCGGGCCGCGAACUCGCCAAUUGCGGAGGGCGGUGGCCACCGCCCAAUCCGGAGCAGACAGGUGCGAGGUCCGGAAGGCGGAGGCCAAUCGGCGGCGGUUGCGACCUGCUGGGGCAGGUCUCGGCCAAUAAGGAGGCUCGAGUGACAUCUUCGCGCACCAAUCGGGAGUGAGGGAGCAUUCGUGCCCGCUCGCCCUUCCGGCCAGACCUCUAUUUACCAGGGGCGUGCAGCCCGCUUGCCAAUCAGAGCGCGGCUGAGCGGCCCGGCAGCCAACCCCCGAGGAGCGGCCGGCUGGCGUCCGCCGCGCCCAGGAGUUGGGGAUGUCCUACAAACCCAUCGCCCCUGCUCCCAGCAGCACCCCUGGCUCCAGCACCCCUGGGCCGGGCACCCCGGUCCCUACAGGUGAGGAUCCAGCUCCACCCCUGCUCGCCUGCCGGGCGGUCGAGGUCUCGAAGAGAAGACGGCCUGAGUUCUGCAAUACUGGGCCUGCCGCCUACCCUCGCUAAGCCUCAGUUUGCUGGCCUGUGAAGUGGGCGUGGUCACGUAAGGGCUUGUAGGUGGAGCGCAGUGGGAGGGAUUUGUCCCUGAAGUUGAUCAGCAUGGAAUGAAGCAUCCUUUGGAGGGAAUCGGGCGAACCCGGUCCUGGGCUUGGAAAAGCUGGGAGGCGGCGUCCCUGCCCCGCGCUGACCUCUUACUCGCGCCUGUUGCUGCAGGAAGCGUCCCGUCGCCGUCGGGCUCAGUGCCAGGAGCCGGCGCACCUUUUAGACCGCUGUUUAACGACUUUGGACCGCCUUCCAUGGGCUACGUGCAGGCGAUGAAGCCACCCGGCGCCCAGGGCUCCCAGAGCACCUACACGGACCUGCUGUCAGUCAUAGAGGAGAUGGGCAAAGAGAUCCGGCCCACCUAUGCUGGCAGCAAGAGCGCCAUGGAGCGCCUGAAGAGAGGUAUCAUCCAUGCCCGGGCCCUAGUCAGAGAGUGCCUGGCAGAGACAGAGCGGAACGCCCGCACGUAACAGGAAGCGCCUCGGCCUCAGCGUCUGGACCUUUCCGGCCACUGCAGAGCACCCGCUUCUCCCUGGCCUUCAUCCCGAGUUGCACUAACCAUCCUGGGCUUCCUGUCCUGUGUCCCUUGGUGGGUCCCCUCCAGGAACCAAGGAGCGGCCCUCCAGGUGGCAGCACUAAGGACACCCCCCCACAACAAGAGUUAGCAGCGAGGUCCCCAUGAGUCCCACCCAUGACCUGCCGACAGUGUUGCCCACCGGAACUUUCUGUGGCCCCUACCGCUCAGCUCUUCCCAGCACUUGUCCCACUUUGUCCCGAGCCUCCUUCUCCCCCAGCAGGGGCUCAGGCCUGGCGCCUCCCUGCCUUGCGUCCUGAGCCAUAGUGACUCUUUUAUUUGUGUGUCUUUUGCUAAAUAUGCCCUUUUUAUAUUAAUAAAAGAUGAUUU